UAUAUCCGAUGACUAUGAUGAAGUACAGCAGCAAAAACCUGCAUGCAUAAUUGAAUUGUCAAUAUAAUAACAUUGCAAAAUAAAAUGAUAGAACAUAAAAAAAAACAACAACUGCUAGCUCAGUUGGUUUGUUAUCCCUCUCAAACAUUCCCACGAGUGAGAGGUUGUGAGUUCAAUUCCCAUCAACAGUGUUUGGGGGAAUUUCUCAUGUAAUUCUUAGGUCGGUCAGCCUUUGGGCCUGGUUCGAGAUUAGGAGGCACAUGCAUGCUCUUAUGAUGAUGAUAUAUGGUUAGGUGUUCUCCCCUGAUGAUGAUGUGGCUAGGUGUUCUUCAGCGAAAGCAAGUCCCUGAGUAGUAGAAUUGCUCGAGUUGUAAGGUGGCGGUGUGGACGCUUAGGUGGUAGGAUCAGUAGCCUUCGGGCCAGGAUUAAUAUACCAAAUUUAAAAAAAAAAAGAUAGAACAUCAACAUUAGAGAAUUAUGACACCUUACAGUACCUCCAACACAGGCAUCUCCAGUGGAAACCUUGCGUAUGCUAUUACAGGUCAUUCCCAGUAGUAAUAAGCAAAGAAAUUACAAAUUGACAUGGGCAUUCUUUACAGGUUGAUCCAAGUAAAAAGUCCUAAAAAUUGAAAAGCAAUACACAUAUAUGAAUCUGGACAGCGCCAUCAGAAAAUGGCUCAAUCCAACACAACGCAACAGAUUGACUUUACGGUUUGCACUUUGCAGCUACCAUAUACAAAUACAUGACAGCAAAUAGACCUUAAAUGGUACUUCUACUCUACUACUACAACUAAUAAGAAAAAGGUGAGGGAAAAUGCCAGUGCUAUCUACACCAGAAUAAAUACAAAGAAAGUACUGAUUGAAUUGUAUGCCUGCUGUACGGUUGAGGGUUAAAACAACAUUAAGCUUUGAUUUCAGUUGGAGUCGACUAAAAACGACAUCAUAAUUUAAAUAUUUAUAGAAUUGAAAAUUACUCACCUUCGCCAGAACACGUCUAUUAACCUCCAUUCACGCUGUGUUUUUUUAUGUUUAUAACUUAUAUCUUCAAUUCCUUCAAUAUGGGCACUUUUGGCAGAACACGUUUUGCCAAAUCUUUUGUUAGUUGCAGGCUGGUGUCUGUGAUGAUAUACAAAACUUGGAGAAUAUUAGAACAAAGAUACGGUAAAAAAAAGAAAACCAUAGUAAAUAAACACAAAGUUGUAUAGAAAAAAAAAAAAAAAAAACACUACUUAAAGUAGAUAACAAUAACAUAAUUGAAUAUGAAUAGAAUAGUACAGUCACAAUUAUAAUCUCAGAUUAACCCAAUCACAUAAGUUAAUACUUGUAAUAGUGCUCUGCUAGUCUUCUAUUUGACGCAAUCACUGCAACUCCUUUCAAAUUCACUCUGAGAAGCAACUCUCAAAUCUCUGUUGUUGUUGAUGAUGAUGAAGAACAGUAGAAGAAGGAUGAACGAUUCUCACAU
rnacentral:lncRNA from 1 species